CAGGUGACCAAGCUGAGAUAGAAUACACCUACCCCUGUGCUUAAGCAUGAAAAAUGAAGGGUGGUCAGUCCUUGAAUCAUCACUGGUUUCAGUACAAUUUCAAAUGACUUGCAUUUUAUAAUGAUACAGUUGGUGUACUUUGUGUAACUCAAUGUCGAAACAAAAAUCAACACUUGUUUCCUUGUCACUAUUUUGUCACAAACUCUUCCAGUGAUGUAACUCUUCUAUAUGUCUGAAGUGAAAUCCUUACACAAUUUACAAUAAAAUUGAAUGUCCCAUUCAAAACAG